GUCACCCAGGCUGGAGUGCAGUGGUAUGAUCUUGGCUCACUGCAACCUCUGCCUCCCAGGUUCAAGUGAUUCUCCUGCCUCAGUCUCCCGAGUAGCUAGGAUUACAGGCAUUUGCCAGCAUGCCUGGCCAAUUUUUGUAUUUUUAGUAGAGAUGGGUUUCACCAUGUUGGCCAGGCUGAUCUCCAACUCCUGACCUCGGGUAAUCAGCCUGCCUCAGCCUCCUAAAGUGCUGGGAUUACAGGCAUGAGCCACCACGUCCAGCCGAAAAGUAAACUUUUGUUGUAUGUAAGCCACCCAAUUGAUGGUAUUCUGUUCUAGCAGCCUCAGCUGACUAAGAUGUUGUUAUAUAUAAAUACCUAGGUACUAAGAGGAGUCAUGGUACAGAAUUACUGUAAAGGUGCAGCUCCAGUUGGAGACCGAUACAGCUGUGUUGUGUUUGUGAUUCAAAUAGCAUGACAUUCUAGUCUGAAAUGAUGAACAACUCCUGGUAAGAUUUUGAAGACAAAAGUACCAGCUUCUUUCAUUUUACCUGGUGGUUGCAAUGUUAGAAAAUUCAGCAUCUAUUAAAUAAACUAAAAUACAAGAAUUGCUUCUUAUAUGUAAUCAGCAGUUAGGUUCUAGACCUGAAUGUCUGAACUGGACAUUUGAAAGUUGUAUGUGAUUGUGACAGAUACUGUUGGAUAUAAGCACCUUUGUCUCCUUCAGAGUGAAUCCUGAUGGUGUCCCGCAAUUAUUGUGAAAACCAAACUCUCCUCACAAAUUCCCAGACCUCCCAGGGGGCAAUGCCAGACCUUCUGCUAGCAGUUUUAUUCCAUCCACAUCCCGCAGGGGAUUUAGUCAGAAGACAGGACAGUGAGAGCUGCUGUCAAUCCAAAUCCCAGGAGACCUACUCUUGCCUGUCAUACCAACCUAAUUAAAUAAGCUAGAGAAAUAUUACCAGGUAGAUAGCCUGGGAAAGGUUUUGUUUGUUUGCUUUGAAGGGAGGACUGCUGCAUAUUUAAGCAGUUUUGCAUGGUGGCUGCAAUAGAGCAGAGAUUCUCCAUCCAGACUGCCUGCGUUUGGAUCCAGUCACAUUGCCACUUACUAGCUAUGUGAUCCUGCAUGAGUUGCCUAACCUCUAAGUGUCUCAGUUUUUUCACUUGAAAAUAAAUAGGCUUAUUGAGUAUCUACUUUGUAGGAUUGUUUUGAGAAUUUAUUAAGCUGGUACAUGUCAUGUGCUUUGAAUAGUGGCUAACGUGUAGCACAAUGGACAUGAUGCACCAAAGAGAGACUUAUGAGAAGAAUGAAAAGGCAAGGACAGGCUUUUUAAAGCUGAGAAAGGAAAUUAUUAAAUUCAAGGCUGAAAAUGAAAAAGAUCAUAUGUGUUGAUUUUCUCUCAUGGUGCAUCUUUACCAGAGCUUUAACAUUUUUUAACGGGCAAAAUUCAGAAAUUCAGCCUCAUGCUUUCCUUCUUCCUUUUGGUAAGGAUAAUAAUAGUAAAUAGCUAACAACUAUGGAGCUCUUACUCCAUGCAAAGCAUGGUACUAAUACAUUUACAAACAUUGUAUCUUUUAAUUUUUAAACAAAUCUGUGAGGUGGAUACUAUUAAUACCCCCAUUUUGGCUGGGCGCAAUGGCUCACACCUGUAAUUCCAGUGUUUUGGGAAGCUGGUGCAGGCGGAUUGCCUGAGUCUGGGAGUUUGAGCUGUUGUCUCUAUUUAAAAAAAAAACAAAACCCAUUUUAACAUAUAGGAGAAUAAGAAAAUUAGAAUAAUUCACAGACCGUUGGAGAGAUUGAAACUCAAACCAUCUGAUUUCAGAGUCCAUUCUUUUAAUCACUGUGCAACAGUAAACAAUGAAAUGCUCAAAUAAAGAUGCCAUUUGAGAGAAGCCUCAACCAUCGAAGCUGUGAAAAAUCUCAGAUUAAUUGUGCUAGGUGACUAAUCCUUGACAUUUUCUGGUUUACUCUGGGAUUUUUAUGUUCAGUAUGCUGGUGGAGUUUUUGGUUUUGUUUGAAAAGUGGUUUAGUGUCUGUUAACCACAACUUACUGUGUAUUUUCCAAUUGCUAGAAGAGCAGAUUUUGAGUGUUACCAAUACAAAUAAAUGAUAAAUGUUUGAGGUGAUGGAUAUACUAAUUUACUCUGAUUUGAUCAUUACACAUUGUGUAUAUGUGUAAAAAUACCGUACUGCAGUGGCUCAAGCCUGUAAUCCCAGCAUUUUGGGAGGCCGAGGCGGGUGGAUCAUGAGGUCAAGAGAUCGAGACCAUCCUGAUCAACAUGGUGAAACCCCAUCACUACUAAAAAAUACAAAAAAUUAGCCGGGCAUGGUGGUGCAUGCCUGUAAUCCCAGCUACUCAGGAGGCUGAGGCAGGAGAAUUGCCUGAACCCAGGAGGUGGAGGUUGUGGUGAGCCGAGAUCGCGCCAUUGCACUCCAGCCUGGGUAACAAGAGCGAAACUCCGUCUCAAAAAAAAAAAAAAAAAUACCAUACUGUAUAGCCAGGCGUGGUGGCUUAUGCCUGUAAUCCCAGAACUUUGGGAGGCUGAGAUGGGCAGAUCACGUGAGUCCAGGAAUUUGACACGAGCCUGGACAACAUGUUGAAACCCUAUCUCUACAAAAAAUAAAAAUUAGCCAGGCGUGGUGGUGCACAUCUGUAGUCCCAGCUACUUGAGAGGCUGAGGUGGGAGAAUUACUUGAGUCUGGGAGUUUGAGGUUGCAGUGAGCCAUGAUUGCACUAUUGCACUUCAGUCUGAGUUACAGAGUGAGACCCUGUCUAAACAAAAAAAAACCAUGCUGUACCUCAUAAAUGUUUAUAAUUAUUAUGUGCCAAUUUAAAUGUUAAAGUAAAAAAGCGUAUAAGUAUCUAAGUCAGAACUGCCUAAGGCACUCUCUGUAAUGACAGAAGGGUUUUAUACUUGCUCUGUCCUGUGUGGUAACCAGCCAGUAAUCAUAUGUGGUUACUGAUCACUUGAAAUGUCGCUAGUGUGACUGAGGAAGUUGAUUUUAAGUUUUAUUGAAUUUUUGUUAAAUAGCCAAAUGUGGUCAGUAUUGAAGAGCACAAGCCUAGAUCAAGUAAUGAGGAUGCAAAGAUCAAGUGCUCGCAGGGCCUUUCUAAGUGCUUUAGUUGAUUGACUCAGUUCUGUCUUGUUAACCUGCAAACUCCUCACUCUGCUUUUUAGCAGGAGCAAGAGUCUGCAUGUAGACAUAAUAUAUGUAGAUGAUGGGACUUACUUCUGUCUUUUUGGAUAUAGAGGCCUUACGGGCAUGUCUUCCCUUGUCUAGCAGGUGGGUGCCGUAUGUAAAGUCUUCUAGUUUGUUCACAAGUUAUCAGUCUCCACAUCCUGGGUGCGUACAGCUGAACUGACUCAAGGAACCUCUAAGUGCAGCAUAUGUUUCAGUUUUCAGGCUGAAGGAAAUGUGUUCCUUUCAGUCUGAAGUCAGCACAGAUGGGAUCUUGAGCCAAGGCCUCAACAUACAAAAACUAAAGUGCUAACCUUUCACAGUUACCAUGGUGCUGCUGACCUCAACAGCAGUGGCCACCAUGGUGUGUGUAAAGCUUUUAUAACGAAAAGCAAAACAUUUCCACCUACAGCUAUCAUCGUGAUUUGAAUUUAAGAUAGGUAAAUGAAGGGUAACAUGUUGGCUGGCUUUAUUUAUUUUAAAAAUUUACAGCAUUCGAGCAACUCUAGGUUGGUUGUGUUUGGUGUGCCCGUAUGUAGAGCAGCAUACAUUCCAAUUCGGGUGUGCAUCCAAAUGUGAAGACAUUUCUGUGAGACUGUUGACUUUGAAUCAGGGUAUGUGAGAUGUUUUAUAUGCUUUAUAUAUAUUUUAUAUGCUUAUCACAAAUGUAUGUGUUUGAACAUAGAUAAAUGUUUUUUAUUUUUUGAGCCCUAUAAAUGAUAUCAUUGCUGAAUGUAGUCUUCUGCAAUUUAAAAAUCCUCAGCAUUACAUUUUCAGCAUGUAUCCAUUAUUGCACAUAGCAUUAGUUAUUAAUUUCACCACUUUAUGAUAUUCUAUCAUAUAGCAUAGACCACACUUUAUCAGUUUUUCUGUCAGUGAACUUCUGGGUUAUUUCCUAGUUAAAUGUUCUUACCAUUGAUUAUCCUUUGUCUUGUAUUACUGUUAGAAAACAGCAAGAAUAGGGAAUAAAUUAUCCGUAUCUCAUAGAAGGAGAGACUAGAGGAGAGGAACUAGGAAUAUAGGAUAUGUUUAAAAUAGGGAGUAAAGAAGGAAACUGGGAUAUAUUUCUUGAUAUGUGGAACCAUCACUAAUGCCAUCUCAUUUAAUUCCUGGGCUCAAACUAUCCUCCUGCCCUAGCCUCCCGAGUACUUGGGGCUACAGGCAUGUGUCAUCAUGCUUGGCUAAUUUAAAAAAAAAAAUUUUUUUUUUUAAAGACACAGGGCCUUGCUAUGUUGCUCAGGUUGGUCUCAACCUCCUGGCCUAAAGCAGUCCUCUUACCACAGCCUCCCAAAGUGCUGGGAUUACAGGCUGAGCCACUGCACCUGGUCAACUGUAAUUUAUGCGACUAGCUCUGUGUAGUCCUUACUCUUCUAGUAAUUUUCCUUUAGUCAGGGAGGAUCUAAAAAAGCCACGUAGUUCGGGAUCACCCUUAACCAGCCGCAGAUAGAGUAACUUGACCCUGGUUUAUCAGCAAUUUGCCGUAUGAGUUUUGUUUGUUUUUAAUGGUGAAUCUUAAUGGAGAAAUAGGGUAGAAUGAGGUGCCAGCCUAGCAAAUGAUUGAACUUCAUUUUUUUUUUCUGUCGAUGACAUUUUUGACUGCUACAUGCAUAAUAAAACUUAGGUAUAGAUUUAAAAUUUAUUUCCAUGAUUUUAAAUUAUUGACUGUUAUUUUAGGCCAAAGUCAUACAGCCCAAGUGAGUGCGCAGCUGAAUAGAGAAGAAUCUCUUUAUAGUGAACGGAGGCUGGAAAUUGGCAUUGCUCGUUGCAGGUGGCUAUUGGACUUGCUCAUGUUUUAUUUAGAUGUUUCAUGGUGCCAUUUGAGCUUCUAAUUAAAGUUGUGCUUGCACUUGCGUUGUUUAUGGAGCCUCGCCUAGACUUGAUCGUCAGAUCAGCUUGACGAGGAUUUGCAAAGGUAAGCUUUAUUACUUCACACGGUGGCUUCUGGCCUCUAUCUUGACUGUGAAGGGAGCACUGACUCAUAAGAACAUAACAAAUAGUUCAGUGACGACUGGAGUGUAUUGAGUGGAGAAUGGAAUGCAGAAGUCUGUUACAGACACUCUGUCUCUAUUAACCUCUCUAACCCUUCUCUUUAGUUUGAUGGAUAGAGGGAUUUGUGCCACGAAAUCACAGAGGUAUCACGUGCUCAGAUAUGAGAUCAUCUUUAAGUUGGCAUUGUUAAUCAUUUUAGCAGUUCCAGACUCCCUUUAACUGGUUUGAACAGUUCUGCUUCACAUUUUAUUAUGGCCUUUUAUAAAUUUGGAAAAUAGUCGGCAGAUUUAAUAAUUUGUUCAUCAGGAUGAAGAAACAUCUGUAUUUUCGUAUUUACUCACGUUUGAUAUGCUAAUCCUAUAUAUGUUACAUUGUUAUUUCUAUGAUUACAGUAAAAAUAUCACAACUCUGUCUUUUGCCAUUAUAUUGGAAAAAGGAAGGAUGAAGGUAAUAUGACUGUUUAGAGAGGUUAUUCUUAUUUUAGACUACAAUGUAUUAUGAAUGAAUAAUCUUAAAAUGUACUUGAAUUAUUGGGAUUUAAAAACGUUGCUACUGGAUGUUUUAGAACUUUAUAUGAUUAUUACAUACCCUGAUUUUUUAUUUUGAAAAAUGUAAGGCUGGACACAGUGGCUCACACCUGUAAUGCUAGCAUUUUGGAGGUCAAGGCAGGCAGAUCAUGAGGUCAGGAGAUUGAGACGAGCCUGGCCAACGUGGUGAAACCCCGUCACUACUAAAAAUACAAAAAUUAGCUGGGCAUACUGGCACAUUCCUGUAAUCCAGCUACUUGGGAGACUGAGGCAGGGCAUAUCUUAAAUCUGAGAGGCAGAGGUUGCAGUGAGCCGAGAUUUUGCCACUGUACUCCAGCCUGGACCACAGAAUGAGACUCUGUCUCAAAAAAAGAAAGUUUAAAUAGAGAUGGGGUAUUACUAUGUUGCUUAGGCUGAUCUUGAACUCCUGGGCUCAAGAGAUACUUCCCCUGGACCUCCCAAAGUGCUGGGAUUUAUAGGUGUGAGCGACCAUGCCUGGCCUACAUACCUUAUUUUUUAGAGUUUAAUAUCGUCAACUUUUUCCACUUGAAUGACUCUCCUUGGUUACUUAGAAAUUUUAUUUUAGCUUUCAAAAAAAGCUUUGACUUGAAAAUGAUCAUUUAGUUAAUCUAAGGAAAUAUGAGUCUAAGAUACUGUGAUGAUGUUCCACUGCCCCAAACUUUUUUUUUUUUUUUUUGAGACAGAGUUUCGCUCUUGUUGCCCAGGCUGGAGUGCAAUGGCACUAUCUUGGCUCAUCGCAACCUUCGUCUCCUGGGUUCAGGCAAUUCUCCUGCCUCAGCCUCCUGAGUAGCUGGGAUUAUAGGCACGCGCCACCAUGCCCAGCUAAUUUUUUGUAUUUUUAGUAGAGACGGGGUUUCACCAUGUUGACCAGGAUGGUCUCGAUCUCUUGACCUCGUGAUCCACCCGCCUCGGCCUCCCAAAGUGCUGGGAUUACAGGCGUGAGCCACCGCGCCCAGCCUGAUACUGUCUAUUUUAUACAGCUGUGGUCAGACUGAGCACUAGUUCUUGAAUUCUCUAUUUCUUUGGGUUCCGUGAAGUCUCUCACCUGUUUUUCUUCCUUCAUUGUACAUACCUUAUUCUCAUUUUUUCUAUUCCAGUCUCCUCCUAUUUUGGCUCCUGCCUAUCUGAUUAACCUCAGCCCCAGGGAUCUCCUCUUCGUGCUCUGUGCUUCAGUCGUUCUAGAUUACUUACAGUCCCCUGAAUGUACUGUUUACCUUUGUAUAUGCUUUUCCUUGUCAGCCUGGUUUAACUCUUGCCCUUUUAGAACCACUCUAAAUAUUUCAUUUGUGAAGCUAUUCCUAAGUAGAGUUCAUCACGACUGCGUGUUGUACUUAUCUCUACUGUAGAUUUUACCAUACCUUAUUAUAGAUUUUCAUCUGUGAAAUCACCUUUGCAAUGAUUAUGACAGAGAAGCUGAGCAUGGCUGACUCCAUCUUCUAACCUCACAGGCUGGCUGUCCUUGCCCAUCUCUGGGCAUAGGCCAAACUAACUAUGGGAAGAAUUUAGUGUAUAGUUUAACUUUGAAGCAAGGAUGAUGAUAGUCCCUCUCUGAAACUAACUCCCUUGAUCAGGGACCAAAACUGCCUUUGCAAAAUAAUGAAAGCCUAUGAGAUUGGGAUUAUGGGAAGAUCCUGAAAUUCUGCUAAGAUGUAGGCGUGGUUAGACCACACCAGCCAUUGUUCCAGAGAUCACAAGUUUUGUAACUUCCCCAAUGGCUCCUACACUUAACAUCACUGUUGUAGAACAGAAGAUUGGUCUUUUGAGAUGUUUAUCAAACUGAGUAGUCUGGUGAUUGACUGACUCCACCCACACCCAUGUCUCAGGAGUCAACCAGUCUUUGUUGUUCUGUUUUUUCUUUUUUUUUUUUUAUGGCUCAGUCAGUCUUGCAUACCCACCCCAGAGGCAGACUCAACACACGUCUGUUUUCUACAACCCUGUGAUUUCAUCCCAAACCAGUCAGCAUUCUCAAUUCCCUAUCUCCCAUCUGCUGACACCUAUCCCUGAAAAGCCCUGGUCCCAAGUUUUCGGGAGGUUGAUUUGAGUGAUAAAUUCUUGUUCUUUUGCUUGGCUAGCUCUAUGUUUGUAAACUCUUUCCCCACCACAGCACUGCUGUCUCUGAAUCAGCUCUAUCUGUGCAGCAAGCAAGAAGAACCCACUGGGUGACUACAUCUGUCUAGGUAUAUUUUUCCUGCUAGACUGAAGCAGGAGCGGCUGCGAACAAACCUCUCAAACACCGAAAUGGGAAGGAAGUGGCAGUUUUAUUCGGCCAGGAGAUGUGGCUGGCUCCAGCCUCAAUAACUGAGCUCCCGACAGAGAAAAUCCUGGCCCUUUUUAAGGCUUACAGUCUAAGAGGUGCACAUGUGAGAGUGUAGGAUAUGUGACUAGGUAGGGGUCUGAGCAGUUGAGCAAGAUCAGUGCCUUCUGGGGAAAAUUCCUCCAUAUCUUGUCCAUGAUCUAUAGAUAGGAUUGUGAGUAGCAGUAGGGAGUUUGAUCCUUAACCUUUAGACCUGGCUGGUGGUGCCAACUGGUCCUUCCACUGACCUCAUCUGGCUGACUUAACUUUUCCUUUAGAAAUGCAAUGUAGAAGGCUAGGGGGAAGUGGUCUUAGAAGCUUAAGAGAAAGCGGUCUCCUUCCUCAAGACCAUUAACUGCUUGAGGGCCUGGCAAUAAUAAACAUUUAUGUUUUUCCAUGAUGAAUAAGUAAGGAAUUUAGGAUAGCUGUGUUAGAAUAGCUCCUAUCUUCAGAGGUGGUUUUUCAACCCAGAGCAUGAAAGGUAUCAUCUGAAAUAGUUAAGGUCACAGAGCUAUAUAUGAUGUACCAGCAGUCCCAACCUUUUUGGCACCAGGAACCAGUUUCUUGGAAGAUCAUUUUACCACAGUUCGGUGGGCAGAGGGGAUGGCUUUGGGAUGAUUCAAGCAUAUUACAUUUAUUUUUAGGAGUGUGCAUGCUAGAUCCCUCGCACGCACAUCCUAGACCCUUCACACAAGUGUCCUAGACCCCUUGCACGCACAUCCUAGACCCUUCGCACACGCGUCCUAGACCCCUUACACGCACAUCCUAGACCCUUCGCACACGCGUCCUAGACCCCUUACACGCACAUCCUAGACCCUUCGCACACGCAUCCUAGACCCCUUACACGCACAUCCUAGACCCUUCGCACACGCGUCCUAGACCCCUUACACGCACAUCCUAGACCCUUCGCACACGCGUCCUAGACCCCUUACACGCACAUCCUAGACCCUUCGCACACGCGUCCUAGACCCCUUACACGCACAUCCUAGACCCUUUGCACACGCGUCCUAGACCCCUUACACGCACAUCCUAGACCCUUCGCACACGCGUCCUAGACCCCUCACACGCACAUCCUAGACCCUUCGCAUGCGCAUCCUAGAUCCCUCACAUGCGCAUCCUAGAUCCCUCACAUGCGCAUCCUAGAUCCCUCACAUGCGCAUCCUAGAUCCCUCACACGCACAUCCUAGAUCCCUCGCGUGCACAGUUCAUAGUAGUGUUUGUGCUGCUAUGACAAUCGAAUGCUGCUGCUGAUCUGACAGGAGGUGGAGCUCAGGUGGUAAUUCUUGCUUGCCUGCUACUCACCUCCUGUUGUGUGGCCAGGUUUCUAACAGGCCACAGACCAGUAGUGGUCCAUGAACAGGCAAAUAAAUUGUAGAGUUUUCCCAAGAGAAUAUCCAUUAUAAGGAUUCCUAAUUUCUCGACAUUUUAGAUCAUGGCGACACACUCCUUUAGUGUCUUCAACCACACUUGGUAAGGAAAUAUUGUUGCUGUGGUUAAGCCAUAGCUUUUCUACUUGUUGAGUGUAUUAGUUUUCACACUGCUAUAAAGACACACUAGAGACUGGGUAAUCUAUAAAAGAAAGAUUUCAUUGGCUGAUGGUUCUGCAGGCCAUGCACCCUUCUUCCUCGCAAAAUGUAUAAUCAUAGUGAAAGACAAAAGGAAAGUAAGCACAUGUCCAUAUGGCUGGCAGGCAGACAGCCAGAUCUCAUGGCAACUCACUAUCACAGGGACAGCAAGGGGGAAGUGUACCCCAUGAUUCAGGCCUCUCCUUCAACACUGGGGAUUAUAAUUCAACUUGAAAUUUGGGUGCGGACAAAGAGCCAAACCAUAUUAAAGUACUAGUUGUCUUAGAUUAAAAUAAACGGAUUCUGCAUAAUAGUUUGUUCUUUGGUUAUAUGAAAGUUAUCCUGAAUUAGUUCUGUGGGUUGAUGAUGUGUAUCCAGUUCCGAUACGGAAGCUGUCUGAUGAUCCAAAUAGGAUGCUAAGGUGGGAGUAGAAACUUCAAGAGCUUUGUGGUUCAAUGUAUAAUUAGUAAGUGAGCCAUUGGGAGCAAAAAUACUUUGAAUAAUGAAUAAUUAGCUGGCUGAGAAGCUAACACUAAAAUUCCCAAACAGUAUGAUCAAGUAAAAUGGAGAUGUGUACCAGUAGGAUAUUGAUGUAAGUAUAAAGCUCAAUUUGCAAAAGCUCAGUUAUUUCUAUCAUUUAUGUGUGAGUAACUCAUACUUUCAUCUCAAUAUUAAAGUAAAUAGUAUUUUUCUAGCCUCUCCUAUAAUUUAGAGUGUGUUUCCAAGGCCCCUUACAUGAUGACAUAUAGUAACCCUCACACUCAUAAAGGAUCUUGACCAUGCUUUUUCUCCAAACAUUGUUCUUUUUCCUUGUAGACAACCUCAGAUAUUUAACCUUAUAAUUGUAAAAUCAGGUUUUAAAAGCCACUCUAUCCUCUUAGGUGCCUAACAUAGGUGUCUUGAUGUCUGCAGGCUCUUGCCAUGUGAUUUUCUUGUUCUUAUUAUUCAGGUGGUGGCAGAACAUAGAGGCAGUGAUUGGGUUCCUCUUCCCUAACAGUGGUGGUCCACAUGCAGUAGUAGUGCACAUUAGCUACUUGUGAAAAUGGUGGAACUUGUCAGAGGCACAUGAGAGCCAGGGAUUUUGCCUUGUCUACUCUAAGAGAACCCCUGAGGAUGUUUCAAAUGACUCUUUGAAAAGAAUCGAUUUGUCUCAGGCUAAAGGGAAAUAGAGAAAAACAAAACGUUUGCAUUUGGACUGGAUGAGUGAUGUCAGCAUUGAGAUUGCUAUUCAGACAGCGUUGAAACAUUUAAAGGAUGGACCAAAAUGAUAAGAUAUAUUUCUACAUUUGGACUUUGGCUAUAUUCAUGGAUUUGAUUAUUAAUAUAUUUAGAGCUUUCCUCAUUCCAAAAUAUCCAUGCUAUUUGGUUCUGGAUUGGUUGCUUGGGAAUAGUGGUAAAAAUGUAGCCUUCUGUUUUAAAAUGCAGGGAGCAGGAAUUGCUUUCUUGGUGUUGACUGGUUGUCCCAGGAGGUUCUACCCAACAAGCGAAUGAAUGGCCUCUCUUGGGAGUUGAUUGCUGCUAUGUUCAUUGUUCAGUCUCUUUACAACAAUAGGACUUACUCUUGAGAACCUGACAUUGGUGAUUUCUUGUUUUGGAAUAUUCUCAUUUCUCUCUCAAAAGCCUGAGUUCUGGUGAAAUCCAAAGCUGGAUUCAAAGUAUCUUCAAGGCCAGGCCUGGUGGCUCAUAUAUGGAAUCCCAGCGCUUUUGAAGGUGGAGGUGGAAGGAUGACUUGAGGCCUGAAGUUUAAGGCCAGCCUGGGCAACAAAGUGAGACCACAUCUCUACAGAAAAUUUAAAAAUUAGCUGGAUGUGGUGGCGUGUUGUAGUCCCAGCUACUUGGGAGGUGAAGCUGGGAGGAUUGCUUAAACCCUGGAGAUUGAGACUGCAGUGAGCCACUGCACUCCAGCCUGGGCAAAAGAGUGAGACCUUGUGUCUAAAAAAUUCCUUAAAACUAGUCCCUUCAUAAUGGAGUUAUUACGAGGAUUGAAAGAAUUAAUGUAUAUAAAAUACUUAGCACAGUACCUGACACAUAGUAAAUACUCCUCUAAUGUUGGUUAUUAUUAUUGUUAUUAUUGCUUAAAGUAAUUCUUUCAUGUGUUUAAUGCUUCCUGGUCACUCCAUUUUAAUCCCUCUGAUGUGAGUUGUGAAAAAAAUCUUCAACCCCUAUUUUCACCAACCUUGUUCCUUCCUACACGUGUUCAAUUGUUCAUUUGUUCAUUUAUCCUUCAUUUAGCAAGCAUUUACUGAACGCGUGUUAUGUAUCAUGUUUUGUGAUAGAACCUGUUACUGCAAGCUGGAAAACAAAAAGAAUGAAAGUCUGGAGGGAAAUUCAAUACCAAAAUGAUGGUUGGAGAGCAAUGAGUGCUUUAAUGUAGGUAUUUGCAAGAUUUGGUAAAGCAUUCAGAGAAGGGUUUGUUGAUGAGCUGAAACUUGAAGGAUGAGUGGGAGUUUCUGAUGCAAAUAUUGAUGUCAGUGUUACGGGUAGUGCAAGGGUAUGUUCAAAUACAUAGGAAUUUAAAGACAUUGAAUGUUGAGAAUUGUAGAACUGCUCCAUGGGUAGUGCUGUUAGGAGUUGGGAAUAAGAUAUGAACAGCUGGAGAGAGAGGAGUACCAAAUAGGAAAGCACUUCUCUUGCUUCUUGACUUUUAUUUUUUUUAAUUAUAAUUUAGGUUCUGUGGUACAUGUGCAGAUCAUACAGGAUUGUUGCAUAGGUACAUACAUGGCAAGGUGCUUUGCUGCCUUCAUCCCCCCCAUCACCUAUAUCUGGUAUUUCUUCCCUCAUUAUCCCUCCCCACCCAGCUAUCCCUCCCCUGCUUCUUGACUUUUAAUGCUUAGAACAUUUUUUUUCUCCCUUUUUUAUGUAUGUAACUUUUCAUUACAAAAUGUGUUACUUUUCAUUAUCAAAUGUCCCUCGUCUCCAGUAAUAUUUGUGUCUUAAAGUCUUAUUUGU